ACCUGGGUGAGGGAUAGCUCAGUUGGUAGAGCAUGAGACCCUUAAUCCCAGGGUGGUGUGUUUGAGCCCCACGUUGGGCA